GCUGUUACCACUCAAGAUACCAUACCUUGAAUAAUACAGGGACACUGGAUAAGGUUAUAAUAAUACUCAGGACACUGAUAAGAUCUCAAGCUGUAACUAUGUGCUGGGCAGACAAGCAGGGAAGACAUUGUGAGCAGAAGGAACACUCUAUCCCAAGGACUGAAACCUUACCAUGUGUUUUCAGGUAACAGCAGAGAUUCCAGGAAAUGUGAAAAGAGAUGAGGUAGUAGGAGUGUAUGACACUUAGAAGGUGGCCUUAGAGGACCCAGGUUUGCAUACCUGUUCCUGA
rnacentral:lncRNA from 1 species